GGUUGUGUAUGAUGAUAUCAUAUAUGUUAACAGUUAUCCCUGUCUGAUUAAUCUUGAUGUAUACAUUUGAUCUGACACAUCU